rnacentral:lncRNA from 1 species
GCAGCCCAAUUGCCCAUCCGCCCCAAGCAUGGUACAAUAACCCAACCCUCUCAUUAAAACCUCCCUCAUCCAAAAAAAAAGGACCUAGAAUUAAUUGCAUUACCUUACCCUAGAGACCUAAUGAGAUAAAAAAAAGGACCUUGUAGCUUUAGGAAAGUUGUGCAUCAGCUUCUUCCUCUAAGAACAAAAACGCAGUAGUUGUUGCCUUUCUUCUUCCGCCAAACACACUUCAUUACAAAUAAAACUUCAACUCCAAAAGCCAUGAAAAUCAACCACGAAAUCCACCAAAAAUCAGCUCCAAUUCACCCCUAAAUCAUCUCCGAACAGCCCAGAAAACGUAGCUGAAGUAGCUGCAAUAAUAGUCCAUAAACCAGCCAUGUUUCCACAUCUAAACCCCUGCGAAAAUUAGUUGAAAAUAGAAGCUAAAAAGCCACAAAAUAUGCUCAAAAUCACCUCCAAAAUAGCUCCAAAACGAGCUGAAAAACACUCCAUGAAAAUAGCUUCAAGAAUGACAAUUGAAACCCAGCUUCCCACCUCAAAAAGACCACCUAAAAAAUAGCUAAAGUUUAGAGUCAAAGUCGAGGGUUUGGUUCAAAUAAAGUCGAGGCCAACGUCGAGCUUUUCGAGUCAUGGUUUUGUUUGGUCUUGUUCGCAUUUUCGGUGUUUGUCGCCGGGAUCUGUUUGCUAGUUGAACAACUUUUGUUGUUGUAUCAAGCUU